AUUUUCUCUUUUCUUCUUCUUCUUCUCUUCCCUUCACCGCCAAGAGUUUGAAGACAUCCAAGUUCCCUUUAUUUUUUUUUUCUUUUUCCUUCUUCAAUUUGCAGAGAACUUCUAAGAGAGAGUUUGGAAGAAGAAGAGAAAUUUUACUAGAAUUUUUAGGUUGAAGAAGAGGAGGAGAACUCAAGCAAAGUGUAUCAAUGGCUGAAUUUUAGUUCAUUCUACACAUCACUGGUUUUUAAUUCGGUUUGAACUCUUCAAAAGGAAUUAAGAGGGCAGUUGGUUUUCACUCGAAAUCAGGAGGUCUCUGGUUUUUCUUGUAUUUCAGAGUCUAUCGGUGGAUUUAGAAUCUCUAUUUGGAGCAAGUUAAAGAGGUCGUGUGCGCGCGAUUCUGGAAGUGGUUCUAUUUUGAGGGUUAUAUGUGUUUAUGCACGGGGAAUCGGAUUUAUAUGUCUUCAGGCCGAGAAGAAUUAAACCGAGCUUAUAGACCAAGGAUCUAGCCCAAGACUGUGAGUGACAAAACCAACUUUGAAAUAUUUUCCAUAACUGUUAUUAUGAUUGAAUGCGAUAAAUGUUUAUUUACGAAGCCAUGAAAGGUAUUUGAAUUUCAUGACUAUUUUCAAGUAUACAUUUGGAGACUAGAUUUCUUAAAGAAAUUUAUGCUAGCACGUAGAUAUUAAAUGUUUGGAAAGUAUUUAAACCACAAUAUUUUAAGCAAAGCAUGAAUUAGUAUGAAGUUUUGUUUUAAGAACUACAAUUUUCCACGAAAGAGCUGAGUAAAGUUCGAGCUUUGUGUAAAAUUUAUAAGCAGGCAUGUUUUAAUAUUUUAUGAUGAUUUAUGAAAUUUUCAUGAACUACAUGACUGAGAUCUUGAGCCUAAGGCUAGAGAUUACCGUGUGCACACUGGUUAGAUUUCGUUGUUGACGUUGAGUGUACUCCGUAACAACGAUGCUGUCGUGAGUGCUGGGCGGGCCCCACUACAUCGUAGUGCUUGUAAACGUUGUUGUACUAGGUGUACCCUACACAACGUAGAUUCGUCAUGUUAGUUAAAAUGCUUCGAUAUACUUGAUAUGCCUUGCUAGAUUUCAAUGAUGAACAUGCUGAGUAUUUAAGGAAGCUAUUCUUACUAUUACACAUUUACAUUUACGACUUGUAUAAACAGAUUUAUAUGUGUAAAGUUUUCACGUGCUCUUAUCUUUAAAUUCAUAGUUUUAAACUGAGUCACUCACUGAGCUUCAUAGCUCACCCUUUCCAAAAUGUUUUACCCAUUUUCCAGGUAGAGAUCGACUUCCUGGUGCCUGAUAGACUGCCUUAGUCUGCGGAAGCUUCAUUAUCGAUUGCCAGUACGUGUUUUGAGUUGGGCAUAAAGUCUGUUGUGUUGUGAUGUAUUCACACCCUUGUAUGUUAUAGAUACUCCACAGUUUGUAUAAGCUUUAGGAGCUGUAGUUGUGUAAAUUUUGUUGGUUAUAUUUUGAUUAAGGUGUCUUUAGGUUUACUCGUGAAAUCGGUAAAUUUUGAGGUACACUUCAUGUAUGUGUUUGACUAGCUGUGUUUGACUAGCCUAGGAUCCGCUGUGUUUUGUGGCAUGUACAAUAGUUUAUAUACUAGAUUGGCAAGUUCAUCACAUGAAAGUUUUAAGCAGAGUCGACAGAUACAGGUACAGAAAAGCGUUGUUCGUCGGCUUCACGCCAUCUUUCGGUCUAAGGUAGCAGGUAGUCCGGGACGGGGUGUGACAUAAAUGAGAGGUUGGAAACCGCAAAUGCAAGGGCUCAAUCGUUUGAGAAGAAGCAAGGAUAUUGCAACAAGAAAAAGGUUCAUAUUGUAGCUUACACAUGUAUAUUUUGUUUAUAUUAAACAAGAAAAGGUUCAUAUUGUAGCUUAGACAUGUAUAUGGUUCAUUGAUAUAUAUAUAUGUGCAAUUUCUUUGA